rnacentral:rRNA from 1 species
AGAGUUUGAUCCUGGCUCAGAACGAACGCUGGCGGCAGGCUUAACACAUGCAAGUCGAGCGCCCGCAAGGGGAGCGGCAGACGGGUGAGUAACGCGUGGGAAUCUACCCAUCUCUACGGAAUAACGCAUGGAAACGUGUGCUAAUACCGUAUACGUCCUUCGGGAGAAAGAUUUAUCGGAGAUGGAUGAGCCCGCGUUGGAUUAGCUAGUUGGUGGGGUAAAGGCCUACCAAGGCGACGAUCCAUAGCUGGUCUGAGAGGAUGAUCAGCCACACUGGGACUGAGACACGGCCCAGACUCCUACGGGAGGCAGCAGUGGGGAAUAUUGGACAAUGGGCGCAAGCCUGAUCCAGCCAUGCCGCGUGAGUGAUGAAGGCCCUAGGGUUGUAAAGCUCUUUCACCGGUGAAGAUAAUGACGGUAACCGGAGAAGAAGCCCCGGCUAACUUCGUG